rnacentral:rRNA from 1 species
UACGGGGGAGGCAAGCGUUGUUCGGAAUUACUGGGCGUAAAGGGCUCGUAGGCGGCCAACUAAGUCCGACGUGAAAUCCCCAGGCUUAACCUGGGAACUGCGUCGGAUACUGGAUGGCUUGAAUUCGGGAGAGGGAUGCAGAAUUCCAGGUGUAGCGGUGAAAUGCGUAGAUAUCUGGAGGAAUACCGGUGGCGAAGGCGGCAUCCUGGACCGACAUUGACGCUGAUGAGCGAAAGCUAGGGGAGCAAACGGG